rnacentral:rRNA from 1 species
GACGAACGCUGGCGGCGUGCCUAAUACAUGCAAGUCGAACGAGAGCGACCGGUGCUUGCGCUGGUCACUCUAGUGGCGCACGGGUGAGUCACACGUGGGUCACCUGCCCAUCAGAGGGGGAUCACAUUCGGACACGGAUGCUAACACCGCAUAGGCCUUCGCACCGCAUGGUUUGAGAGGAAAAGACGCCCAAGCUUCUGCUGAUGGCUGGAUCCGGGGUGCAUUAGCUAGUUGGUGAGGUAACGGCUCACCAAGGCCGUGAUGCAUAGCCGAGCUGAGAGGGUGAUCGGCGGCAUGAGGACGGAGACACGGCCAAAACGCCUGCGGGAGGCAGCAGUAGGCAAUCUUACGCAAUAGACGCAAGUCUUACGGAGCAACGCCGCGUGAGUGAAGAAGGUGUUCGGAGCGUAAAACUCGGUUGUUGGAGAAGAACAGGUGCUAGAGUAACUGUUAGCGCCGUGACGGUAUCUAACCAGAAAGCCACGGCUAACUACGUG